AAAUAGUUUUAGAAUAAAAAGAAAGAAUAAUUUAAACUGGUAUAAUUAUAAAGUUAAUAAAUCUCUUUCAAAAUUAUAUUUGUUAUAUAUUAUUAUAUAUUUGUUUAAUAUAAAGAAUUCUGUGAUUCUAAUAAUCAGUAGAUUUUGUAAAUUCUACACACAAAAUAAUGAAAAAUAUAUAAAAUACUGAAAAUAAAGUUAUUAUAAUAUGUAGUAGAUAAAAUAAAUCAUUAUUUAGAUUUCGUCUGUAAUUACAUCCAUAAAAAAUAUGAAUUUGCAUAAAUAUUCUCAAACUACUACUAAUUAAUUCUCCUUUUAAUGGUUCUCUUCUUAAUUCCACUUUUUAAUGAUUUGUUGAAUAAUCGAUGGACUUUUCUCGUCCUCGUUAUAUAUGUUCAAUAUUGAACAUAUAAUAUUUUCACGAUAUUGUUUUCGUAAUAAGCAACCGUGAAACUGAUUAGUCUUUCACUUUCUUCAAUCGUGAGGAAACACUAUGGUCGAAGAGACGUGAUGUUACAAGCCACUUAACGUGAAGUCAAAGAAGCAUCGCCUCACGGCAAUGGAUCAUUUGUUUCGAAAUUUCUGUGCUAGCCAACUAGAGAAUGAAAGCUAUGCCAGAGAUGAUACACAAGAAAUGCCGUAAUCUAUUUGAACUAUAUAUAGUUUCUUCUUUUCUACGUUCCUAUAAAUAUGUGUGAGGGAAUUAAAACAUUACGAAAUGAAAAUCACAUUAAGAAAAGUGACAAUAAAUAAAAAAUCAAGAGAGAAGAGAAGAGUUAAAUACGAAGAUCAAAACGUUUUGUGAUUACGCGUGAACUAGUCAUCUUUGUGUCAAGCAUUAAUGAAUCAUUCUUAUUCUCGUUGCCUCCAGAUUAUCCAAUCGACUGAAUAGGAUUUUUCUUCAUGAAUAAACAAAUACACGUUCAUAGAAAUUUUCUUUUUUAUGAAAUAAUCUUCCUGGAAUCUUUUGAAAAAUCAACCUAUAUGCAACGAAAUUACUUUAGUUUAUGUCUUUACUCCAUAAAAUAUUUCAAGAAUUUAACUUGUAUCUCAAGAAUUAAAGAAAAGCAUCUCAAGAAUCACUUACUUUGUU